GGAGAGAUGCUCGAGUGGUUUAAGAGGCACGCCUGGAAAGCGUGUAGUCGCCGAAAGCGGCACGUGGGUUCGAAUCCCACUCUCUCCGCAA
rnacentral:tRNA from 1 species